GUCAAUGAUGAGAGGCACGGAGUAGUCGACGGCCAGGCGCCGCGUGCGGUACCCCUUGGUGACAAAGGAGGAAAGCCGGCGGCCCCCAGAGUUGCGCAUGGAGAGGUUGAUGACCAUCUCAAAGUGGUUCUCUGCCAAGUAGUCCAGGAUGCUGCGCUGCGUCUCACGGGCACCCGCUUCAGUGCUGUCUGCCUCCUCAAAGUGCCAAUCCACUGCCAUCACCUUGAUGCCGUGCUCGGUGUAG
rnacentral:lncRNA from 1 species